rnacentral:misc_RNA from 1 species
GAUGAAGAACGUAGCGAAAUGCGAUACUUGGUGUGAAUUGCAGAAUCCCGUGAACCAUCGAGUCUUUGAACGCAAGUUGCGCCCGAAGCCAUUAGGCCGAGGGCACGCCUGCCUGGGCGUCACACGUCGUUGCCCCCCCCAUCUACUCCUUCUGGAUUGCGGGGGGCGGAUGAUGGCCUCCCGUGCGCCUCGCCGCGCGGUUGGCAUAAAUGCCAAGUCCUCGGCGACGCACGCCACGACAAUCGGUGGUUGCGAAACCUCGGUUGCCCGUCGUGUGCGGUCGUCGCGCAUCGAGGGCUCGAAAAAAUUGCCGGGUUCCGGCUCGGCUUUCAACGCGACCCCAGGUCAGGCGGGGUUACCCGCUGAAUUUAAGCAUAUCAAUAAGCGGAGGA